rnacentral:rRNA from 1 species
AAACAAAUGACGGUACCCUACUAGAAAGGAGCCGCUAACUGCGUGCCAGAAGCGUCGGUAAUACGUGGGCUUCAAGCAUUAUCCGGUCUUAUUGGGCGUAAAGGGUCGUGUAGGCGGUUUGGUAAGUUGUCUUUUAAAUCUCCACGCUUAACGUGAACAUUGAGACAAUACUGUCAAACUAGAGUUUUCUUAAGGGUGAUUGGAACUUAGGGAGGAGUAGUGAAAUGCGUUGAUACCCUAGGGAACACCAGUGGCGAAGGCGAAUCACUGGAAGGAAACUGACGCUGAGACACGAAAGCUAGGGGAGCGAAGCAGAUUAGAGACCUGCGUAGUCCUAGCCCUAAACGAAUGUCUGCUAGCUGCAUUCUUAUAUCGUUUUACGAUAUUUGGGUGUGGCGAAGGUAACCCGUUAAGCAGACCGCCUGGGGAUUACGGUCGCAAGGCUAAAACUCAAAGGAAUUGGCGGGGAGGCACACAACCAGUGGAACAUGUGGUUCAAUUCGAGACGAACCGAAGAACCUCACCAGGGUUUGACAUGCUAGCGUUCUAUUUCCUGGAAACAGGAGAAAUCCGUAAGGAGGUUAGCACAGGUGCUGCAUGGCUGUCGUCAGCUCGUUCCGUGAGGAGUGCCCUUAAGUGGGACAACGAGCGCAACCCCUAUCUUGUGUUAGAAAUGUCACAAGAGACUGCUUCGAUAUAUAUCGGGGAGGAAGGAGGGGCAGACGUCAAGUCAGCAUGGUCCUUAUACCCUGGGCUACACACAUGUUACAAUGGAUAAUAACAAUGAGUCUUGCAAAACGGCAACGUCAAGCAAAUCUCAGAAAUUUAUUCUCAGUUGGGAUUGGGGUCUGCAACUCGACCCCAUGAACACGGAAUUGGUAGUAAUCGCGGGUCAGCUAUACCGCGGUGAAUACGUUCUUGCCUCUUGCACACACCGCCCGUCAAGCCAACAAAGUCGGAAAUAUUUGAACUCGCCGUAUGGCGAGGAGGAUACUUUCGGCGAUGAGGGUUAAGUCGUAACAAGGUAUCCGUUCUGGAAGGAGCGGAUGGAUCACCUCCUUUCU